rnacentral:rRNA from 1 species
CAGCCGCCGCGGUAAUACGUAGGUGGCAAGCGUUGUCCGGAAUUAUUGGUCGUAAAGGGCUCGCAGGCGGUUUCUUAAGUCUGAUGUGAAAGCCCACGGCUCAACCGUGGAGGGUCAUUGGAAACUGUUAAACUUGAGUGCAGGAGAGAAAAGUGGAAUUCCUAGUGUAGCGGUGAAAUGCGUAGAGAUUAGGAGGAACACCAGUGGCGAAGGCGGCUUUUUGGCCUGUAACUGACACUGAGGCGCGAAAGCGUGGGGAGCAAACAGGAUUAGAUACCCGCGUAGUCCCUGUCUCUUAUAA